GACGAACGCUGGCGGCGUGCUUAACACAUGCAAGUCGAACGGCGUGGCGAACGGGUGUGUAACACGUGGGUGAUCUUCCUUGCACUUGGGGAUAAGCUUCGGAAACUGGGACGAAUUCCGGCAAGGGCAAUAUGAGCUCGGGGCCUAUCAGCUUGUUGGUGGGGUAAUGGCAUACCAAGGCGCCGACGGGUAGCCGGCCUGCGAGGGUGUACGGCGACCAUGGGACUACGAGACGGACCAGGCGCGAACGGGGGGCAGCAGUGGGGAAUAGUACACAAUGAGUGGAAGCCUGAUGCAGCGGCGCCGCGUGGGGAAUGAAGGUCUUCGGGUUGUAAACUCCUUUCGACAGGGACGCGGUACCUGUAUAAGAAGCACCGGCUAACUACGUGCCAGCAGCCGCGGUAAUAC
rnacentral:rRNA from 1 species